AUUCUGCCCAAGCGGGGAAGGAUGAGAAGCUUCGACUAAGGUUCGAUUCGAGCGAAAGCGAGAGAACGUUGCCACAGGCAACGGCCCGAAGGGUGAGGAGCGAAGCGACGAAUAAUCCUUCCCCCACCACCA
rnacentral:sRNA from 1 species